CCCCAGCCGGGUCAGGUUGGGGACUCCAGAUCUGUGUGCUGGAGUUAGGGGGUUCGGGUAGGGCUACCCCCGGCCUGCGGGACUAGAUAAAGAAAGGCUGCGAAGGCGCCUAGUCACCGGCUGCAGGCGCGGCUCUCCGGGCCUGCUGCCACCUCGCAGUGCGUCCUGCCCGCCGGGGGCUGCGACCGCAGGGAGUCGCGGUGCCUCUGUCAGCCUGACCCUUUCUCUCCUGCAGCCCUGAGGAGGGCCGCCUGACGGCUGAGUUGCCAUGGCAUCCUACUACGAGAUUCUAGACGUACCGCCGAGUGCGUCUGCUGAUGACAUCAAGAAGGCGUAUAGAAAGAAGGCUCUACAGUGGCACCCGGACAAGAACCCGGAUAAUAAGGAGUAUGCUGAGAAAAAAUUUAAGGAGGUUGCAGAGGCCUAUGAAGUACUAUCUGACAAGCACAAACGGGAGAUCUAUGACCGCUAUGGCCGGGAAGGGCUGACAGGGGCAGGACCUGGUCCCUCACGACCAGAAACUGGUGGUAUGGGACCUGCUUUCACAUUCACCUUCCGUAGCCCUGAGGAAGUCUUCCGGGAGUUCUUCGGGAGUGGAGACCCUUUUUCGGAGCUCUUCGAUGAGUUGGGCCCCUUCUCAGACCUUCAGAAUCGGAGUACUGGACGAUCUGGCCCUUUCUUCACUUUCUCUUCCUCCUUUCCUGGCCAGUCUGAUUUUUCGUCCUCGUCUUUCUCCUUCAGCCCUGGGGCUGGUGCUUUUCGCUCUGUUUCUACAUCCACCGCCUUUGUCCAAGGACACCGCAUCACCACGCGCAGAAUCAUGGAGAACGGGCAGGAGCGGGUAGAAGUGGAAGAGGAUGGACAGCUGAAGUCGGUCUCAAUCAAUGGUAUCCCAGAUGACCUGGCACUAGCCUUGGAGCUGAGCCGUCGUGAGCACCAACCUUCAGUCACCUCCAGGUUGCGGGUCCAGCCGACCCCUCUCUCCCGUCCCUCUGACAUCAACCUUUCUGAAGAUGAGGACAUGCAGCUUGCCAUGGCCUACAGUCUAUCAGAGAUGGAAGCAUCUGGGCAGAAGCCAGCAGGUGGGCGGGGGGCACAGCAACGAUGGCAGGGGCGGCCCAAGGCCCAGCACCAAGAUCUUGAUAUGGGGGUCACACAUAAGGGGGCGAGGGGUGAGGCAGCCAAACCCAGCCCAUCCUCAGAGGAGAAGGCCUCUCGCUGCCUCAUUCUCUGAAAGCCAGGCUGAGCCUGACGUGAUUCAGGUCCUGAUGCAGAGUUCCGCUCACUGUCAGGAGCACGGAAUAGAGUGGCCUGAGCUGCAGGAUCCCAAACUCUGUCCUCCACAAGUUCCCCUCCCAGGCCCACCAUCCUAUAGCAUGGACAAAGGAUUUGUUGUACUCUGAUAGGUCCCGGGGUAGAGCCCAGGACUGGGGGCAGCAGGGGCCAUGGAAGGGCCUGUGGAGCCUAGAGGCACUGGUUGGAUCAGGCACCGCUGAGGGACAUUAGGGGCUCGGGGUGGGCCUUCUGUGGCCAAGUCUUUUCCUGCCGUCUAUGUUGCUGACACUGUCAAGGAAGUGGGGCUUGGCCCAGCAUGCGCUGAGCCCUGGGGAGCAGCGCAGGCCAAGUGGAGCCUCUGCUAUCCUUGCUGAGCCUCUUCAGGCCUCCCGGAUUCUGUGCAGAACUGAGCUCUCACCCGCUUCCGCUUCCCCUCUGCUGCUGCUUUCCCUCCACUCUGCUCUCUGCAACUCCUGCGUUCGCAUCGCUUGCUUUUAUGGCUGCUUGGCUAGGACUCCCUUCUCCUUUUCUUUGAAGCCCAGGAAGAUGCUGGGACCAGUGGGGCCAUAAGAUCUUCUAGGGAGGCUAGCUAGGUGGGGUUGAAGCCUCUCAGCCCUCCAGAGUCUCAACCAGAGUCAACUCCUCUUCCCUUCUUGCUGCCUCAGCCUGCCCUGGCCAUAGGACUAGGCAGAGAUGUGUUCUGAGCUGGAUAUCCUGGAUACAGAGUUGCUGCAGUUCCAUCAGGACAGCG